UAUUCAAGAUGAAGUCUUAUGUCAAUUUUUCUAUAAUAUAAAAUCAAUAGAUAAUAUAAGAGUUUAGCAUAUACUCAAUUUCAUAAUACUAUAAUUAAAUAUGGACAUCCAAUUUUUUUAGCUCUACUGCCUCUACUAAGGCACCACGAUUAUCCCCCAUGGUGAAAAUCUUAAGUCCACACUUUUUCCCAUGGUAGGGAUCUCAAGUCCACAAUUAUCCCCC
rnacentral:lncRNA from 1 species